AGUUGAGGGGCGGGCCUUCCAUGAGCUCCCAGCGUCCACCUGCCAUGGUGAUGUGGAGGCAGAGUCACAGAGGGUAGAACGGUGGAACCCCCCCUGCAGGUAUAUAAAGGGCAGUGCCAGUGAGCCGGCAGUGCCAGUGAGCCGGCAGCCCAGAGCAGAGCGGACAGCGGCAGAGCGAGCAGCAGCAGAGCAGGAGCUGAAGCCAGGGACACGGACACGGCUGGAACACGGCAUGCUCCUGGUGUCAGCCCUGCAGCUGUCAGUGCGUGAGGAGAGCGCUGCACCUCCGGCCCUCGCUGCUCUGUGACAGUCUCCGGGUCUGCCUCCCAAUAAAGCCUGAUUCGUGAA